GUACUUCCAUGUAUACUCCUCCAUCUUGCAUUGGAGAUAGCUUACUAAGGAACUAAUUUUCACUUUGUUCUACAGAUCCCAGGUUCUGUAGGGGAUUUCCUAGCAUCCUCAUGCUGCUUACCACACCAGCUGGCAUUAGCACAGAGCAGAGUCUGCUCCUUAAUGCAUCCCUGGAUCACUGUAGACUUUGCCUACAGAGGCCUGGGGGCCCCGUGGCAGCGCUCCUGUCAAGAAAGCAGAGUCGUGGACAACCAACUGCGCAGGCUGGGAGGAAAACUUACAGCCUCCUCUACUCUUCAGGAGAGUGGCAGUCAAUGAGUAAGACUCAAUGAAAGUGAUUGCCUACUUCAUGGUGGAAAGAGUCCAGUGUACACAAUGGCCAAGCAGCUGCUUAGUCACCUUGAAGCAAGAGGUCUUACUGAGAGCUCAAGGUUAGUCACUACUUCCAGUAAGCUGUAUAUUUGGCAGAGGCUCUGGUCAGAUAAGCAAGCUCUGGAUCCAUUUAUAUCCUCCAUUCUUCUGCCCAUGGCCACUGCUUUCAUGAGUCUGUUGAAUAAGCAGGUGGAGUGGGGAGAAUAUUGAAGAAGAAAUGGAUAGAAAUAAUAGUUUUGUCCAUUUGAUCCAUGAAAGACUUCUCUAUAGGAGUGGUCUUUUGUCAGGCAUUCGUAUGAGGCACAUAUUAUCACAUUCUCACACCCUGGGCCUAUUCAGAGAGGUCAGAUCACAUGCUCCUUCCCUAAACCACUUUGUCAUCGAUCCUCUAUUCUUGCUUUUUCCAAGCCCUUGACCCUCUGGUCAAAGGUUUUUCUAUUUCUCAUAAGCUUAGAUAUGAACAGUUCCUCUCUUCUAGAAAAAGUGGACAUUAAGGUGUGCUGUGCAAAGUUCUGCUCAGUGAAGGUGUUUCACUUCCUCAUUGUUCUCUAAGCCCUCCCUGCGUGGAAAGUGCCACUGCACAGGUCUUCUCUGUCUAUAUCAGCAUAGGAGGCAGGCCUAUCUGUAAAUUAAACUCGAG
rnacentral:lncRNA from 1 species